CAAAUACUCCCUCCGUCCGGAAAUACUUGUCAUCAAAAUGGAUAAAAGGAAAUGUAUCUUGACGUAUUUUAGUCACAUGUUGGAUACAUCUCUUUUUAUCCAUUUUUAUGACUAGUAUUUCCGGACGAAGGGAGUAGAAA
rfam:Triticum urartu cultivar G1812 contig774782, whole genome shotgun sequence.